rnacentral:rRNA from 1 species
GACGUAGGGUGCGAGCGUUGUCCGGAUUUAUUGGGCGUAAAGAGCUCGUAGGCGGCUCGUCGCGUCGACCGUGAAAUCCCGCAGCUUAACUGCGGGCUUGCGGUUGAUACGGGCGGGCUAGAGUUCGGUAGGGGAGACUGGAAUUCCUGGUGUAGCGGUGAAAUGCGUAGAUAUCUGGAGGAAUACCGGUGGCGAAGGCGGCAUCCUGGACCAUUACUGACGCUGAGGCGCGAAAGCUAGGGGAGCAAACGGG